UAUGCUUUCACAUGAAGUAUAAAUACUAACUCAUAAAUCAAAUUAUGAUGAAGCGAGAAAGUUAAUAUUCUUUUUGUAAAAUUAAUUAAUUAAACAGACAAUAAAAUUACAGACUACUAGGAAACAUAGAAACCAUCCACGCAUAGUGGCAUAAUCUACCUGAUCAAUG